CCAUAAUGAGUUACUCAAACAGAUGCUCAAGUUGGGGUGGAACCAUGAAUAGCUUUGAUUUGACACCAGUUGAAACAGAACAAUUUUAAGGUAUAUGAGUAGUUAAAAAAUAAAAAGGCAAUGCUGAUAAUUCGCCAGGACGGGAUAUAUUGCAACGAAACUGCUAAACAAAAUGAAAAAUACCUUCUUCUUUUUUCCCCUAAUAAAUGCAAAAGUAGGAGACUACAGUUAACAAUGGAAAAAAUAAUAAUAACCAGCAGAUAUAAGUGAAAAGAAAAGGUUGAGAACUAGAGACAUUAACAACCCUUAACCCAACAAGUGAUGAUGUCAGACAAAAUUAAAUCAUAUGCAGAGAUAGCAAAAAUAAUAUUUUUGAUAAUCAGAUGCCAAGACAGUUACAAUCUUCCCAUACCUUUGUUUCAAUUUUAUUACUCUAUAUGCUUUGCCUACUUAAACAUGGGAAGAUAGAGAAAGAGAAAGGGGGGAAGUUUUCUGGAUGAUUUAUUUAAUUAAAAACCUUGUUUAACAAAGUAGACAAGGAUUAAACAAACCUCUCGCGUUUCCAAAUCUUAUUCCCAAUUUGUAACGCCCUACACCAUUCCUUGAAAUUUAUAUCCCAAAUCGAGUUUCAUCAUCAAAACCACCCAACACAAUAACUUUCACACAACCAGGAUUUGUGUCUUCCUCUGACCUUACUUCAGUACAAUUUGAGUAAAAUUCUGGCUUUAUAGGUUACUAACUAAAGGGAAAAAUUCUGGCUUUAUAGGUUACUAACUAUAGGUUACUAACUAUAGACUACAGUUAACAAAGGAAAAAAUUCUGGCUUUAUAGGUUACAAAGCUGUAAGCAUAAACACUAAGAACAUAGAGCUUGAAAUGAAAGUAAAUUAUUAGUCAAUAUUUCCAUUGAAGAGAUUUAACUUUUUGUCUCCAAAAUGAAGAGAGUGCUGCCACUGUACAUGUCAAGUCCAAUUUGAAGAAUUUUCACACCCCAAGUAACCUACUGGCCAAACAAAUUGAACAGAGUGGGUAUACCAAGUUACCAACAUGGCCCAAAAGCUUAAGCCCAAGUAAUAUACCAAAUUAAGGUUUCAUAUUAUAAAGAGGAAGAGGAAGAAGAAGAAGAAGCGACAGAGAAAAGCCGAAAAGAAAGAAAACGGUAUGCCGAUGUAUCUUUCCAAAAAGAUAGUUGGGCAACAAUCCCCCACUCGUUAAUCUUGAAAACGACAAUGACUGAAGGCGUAUUAAAAAAUUCAACAGAAGACGAGGCUCUGUGAAACACAUCCAGUGCAACAAAAACAAUCGGGUUAAGGUUUGAGAUUAUGUUUGGAAGCAAAGAUCAACACUGAACAGCUACAUUUUAAAAGUUAAAAGUAAAAAG